rnacentral:rRNA from 1 species
UACGAAGGGGGCUAGCGUUGCUCGGAAUCACUGGGCGUAAAGGGUGCGUAGGCGGGUCUUUAAGUCAGGGGUGAAAUCCUGGAGCUCAACUCCAGAACUGCCUUUGAUACUGAGGAUCUUGAGUACGGGAGAGGUGAGUGGAACUGCGAGUGUGGAGGUGAAAUUCGUAGAUAUUCGCAAGAACACCAGUGGCGAAGGCGGCUCACUGGCCCGUUACUGACGCUGAGGCACGAAAGCGUGGGGAGCAAACAGG